rnacentral:lncRNA from 1 species
UUAAAAACAUAUUUUUUUAUUAAACAUAUGAGCUUUUUACAUAGUAAUAUAAACGUUUUUACUAAAACAACUAUAUUUUAUGGAACAAAAAAAUUAAUGAGAAGAGUGGUGUUAUAUCAAAAAUUUUGCAAAUCUGUUGAAUCUCUGGUUUAACAGGAGACAGAUGAAUCCAUAGCUGCUUCUCCAGUGAAUCACAAUUGGUUCAUUGUGACAGUCCAUGUCAUGUAGCUUCUGGGAAACUCCCCACUCCACCCCAGAGAGAAUGAGAGUGAAGAGGACAAGUAAUAUCUUAAUCAUCUUAGUAUCUGGAAGACAACAGUUUUGGCCUUGAAGACCCCCACCCACCACUGGGUCUAGGGACCUCCCAGGAGUCCUCAUGCCACAUUUUGAGAAUCACAGCUCUGCACAAUCUUCAGGUAGAAACAUUCAAGAUCCAGAAAGUCUCAAGGCUUUAAAUGCCUGAGUUCAAGCCCCAUCCCAUCACUUCCCAGCUGUGUGACCUUGGGCAAGUCAUCUAACUUUCUGACCAUGUCAGUCUCUUCAUCUCUAAAACAGGAUCAAUGACACCUACAUCUAGGCCGUGGUGAAAUGAGAAGUAACGGAGUCCCAGCAGUAAUGCGGCACUUGGCUGUCCCCUGGCUUCGGUAGACACUCCUUCGCCAGAAUGCUUCCUUCCAUGCGCAGAGGGGUCUUCCGUCUGUAACCCCUGACCUCUCUCUGCGCCUAUGCCCUCUUCUCUUCCCCAGGAAGAUGUGUGACCUAUCUCAUUGACCCAGGUAUGUCUUUAUCAGCAGCAUGAAAACGGACUAAUAUAAGGGGCAACUCUGGGACCUGGGAAGAAACCAGAAGGUAAGUGGCUUGGAGCAAAGUGGGUCUUCAUGGCUCACUGGAAAACCCUCCCUAGGCUUGGCAUUUCCUUUCUCGUGGCAUUGUCAAAGGGAACAUUCUGUUGACAUCAGAGGAUGAAUUCUGCUUCAAGGAGUGAGAAAGUACAGAGGGUUUAGUCAUCACCCCUCUCAGACGCUUGCCCGUGCUGUGAACCACUGUCGGAGGAAGGAGGAAAAUCUGUGGGUUCAGCCCACAGGGAGCUCAGCUGGUACCCACAGC